rnacentral:rRNA from 1 species
GACGAACGCUGGCGGCGUGCUUAACACAUGCAAGUCGAACGGAAAGGCCCUGCUUUUGUGGGGUGCUCGAGUGGCGAACGGGUGAGUAACACGUGAGUAACCUGCCCUUGACUUUGGGAUAACUUCAGGAAACUGGGGCUAAUACCGGAUAGGAGCUCCUGCUGCAUGUGGGGGUUGGAAAGUUUCGGCGGUUGGGGAUGGACUCGCGGCUUAUCAGCUUGUUGGUGGGGUAGUGGCUUACCAAGGCUUUGACGGGUAGCCGGCCUGAGGGGGUGACCGGCCACAUGGGGAGAGAGAUAGGCCCCAGACUCCUAGGGGGGGCAGGAGUGGGGAAUAUGGCAAAAGGGGGGGAGGCCUGAGGCGGCAGCGCCGGGGGGGGGAGGAGGGCCUUGGGUGUGAAACCCGCUUGCGCCUGGGACGAAGGGGGAGUGAGGGUAGGGGGAAAAAAAGCACCGGCAAACUACGGG